rnacentral:rRNA from 1 species
GCUCUAGUACGGCGAGUGAAGCAGCAAUAGCUCAAAUUUGAAAUCUGGCGUCUUCGGCGUCCGAGUUGUAAUUUGUAGAGGAUGCUUCUGGGCAGCCACCGACCUAAGUUCCUUGGAACAGGACGUCAUAGAGGGUGAGAAUCCCGUAUGCGGUCGGAAAGGCACCCUACACGUAGCUCCUUCGACGAGUCGAGUUGUUUGGGAAUGCAGCUCUAAAUGGGAGGUAAAUUUCUUCUAAAGCUAAAUAUUGGGGAGAGACCGAUAGCGAACAAGUACCGUGAGGGAAAGAUGAAAAGCACUUUGGAAAGAGAGUUAAAUAGUACGUGAAAUUGUCGAAAGGGAAGCGCUUAAAGUUAGACAUGCUAGUCGGAAUUCAGCCUUGCUUUUGCUUGGUGCAUUUUCCGGUUGGCAGGCCAGCAUCAGUUUUGCCUGUCGGAUAAGGGUGGGAGGAAUGUGGCCCCUCGGGGUGUUAUAGCCUCUCACUGGAUACGGCGGGCGGGACUGAGGAACGCAGUGCGCCUUUAUGGCGGGCCUUCGGGCACCUUCGCACUUAGGAUGCUGGCGUAAUGGCUUUAAGCGACCCGUCUUGAA